GCCAAGCUCAGAGCAAAGGGAAGGACACACAGCGUGUGCAGUGAGGGGGUCCUUGUCCCCGCCCAAGCUGCAAGAAGCUCCGUGAAGGCCCCUCCUGCCCCUGUCCACCUCGCACAAUCCUAGUCGAGGGAGGAGGGGAGAAAUCUGGCGUGUGUUCACCAGGAGCUGGCAAGUGCCCUGCCCUUCCUGGAUGUGGUGAGAGAUGAAUCUCCAGCCCUCGGGGACUGAGGAGUCGGUUCCUGAACCGAAGCAUGAGUUUGUCAGCUCUUCCAGCUCCCCAGGCGCCAAUGACCACAUGGUCUCAGUAACGACUGGUCAGAGAGAAGGGACAUGGGACCUGCCAGGCCUUCUACUGCCCACUAGAAAAUGAGGAAGAGGAGGGGCUUGGUCCUUGUUCCGGGCACUGGGUUUGAGGGCUGGACACCCGAGAUCCCUGGGAACCCCUUUGGCUAUGGGAAGACCUUGCCCCAUUAGGCUUCAGAGUCCCUCCCUGGCAGGUGACCCAGGCCUGCCCCGACGGAAGCCAUUCAGACCCAGAGCCACGUGUCCCGGGUCUCCCUGCCCUGGGCCACCUGCCACCACGCCCCAAGGCUUGCUUACCACUGGGAGGCGCUCUUGUCCUGGACUGGCCUGGUCCAGGUUGGGACCUCCAGCCAGGACAGUCAGUGAGCCACCAGCCCCACCAGGGUGGAAUGACAGUCAGGAUUCAGCUGGCAGUGGGCAGGAGGCCAGUCUUGUGACGAUGUCCCAGCCACAACUCUCUUCCUGCCCCUCCCUUGUCCUGAUGGGAACCCCCAACUCUGUAGCUGAGUCAGGCCUGGGGGCCAUGUGGGGUCCUGGGUUUAGGCACCCCACCCCAUCUGUUCCAACAGACCCUCCCUCUCAACCUAGGGCACAGAUGGCAGCUGAGCCAGCAGUACACCGAUGCUCCGGGCAGGGGCUGAUGGGAGGCCUGGGUGGAGGAGUGGGUUCUCAGGGCUACCUUGGUCCCCCUGCACUUUUGCCCUCCUUCCCCCACCUCUCUGGUGCCUCCCGGCUCCCUGGGACUCACUCCCUCACCUUGGCCUCUGCCUGGGACGCUGACCGGCCACCCCCACCAGCCCUGACACUGGUGCUGCCCACUAGCCGCUGCUGCUACACAGGCGUGCGCCUCCCCCAGUCUGGCCUCCUUAACCCCCAGGCAUUGGGAACAGGGAACAAGGAAGCAGUCCAUGCCAGCCCACUCCCAGGGCCCGUGAGCCCCCAGCAAGGGAUGGGCCACAGAAUCCAGGAAGAAGACGGGCUCCAGCCCCCAGUGGUCGCCAGCGGCCCCCUAGAAGCUCACCACCCCACCCCAUCCCACUCACUCCUGCUCUCACGUACAUUUCCCAGCUCCCCACCCAGGCCUACCUUCAGAUCAGCGGCAGCGCUCACCCACCACGCCUGCCAGGGAAGCUCAGUCCCAACAGAAUCCAGACAGGGCCCACCACAUGUGCCUGCUUGUGACGGCUUGUGACAGAGCCCCAGCCAGGGCCGACGAGCUGGAGGGGCCCAAGGAGCAGGAUGCAGCACUGGGGUAACAGGACAGCUCCAUGGGGUGCUCCCGAGUCUGGACCAGACUUGGGGUGGGGAGGCCCAGACUCGGUGGGGGUCAGACUCGGGGUGGGGGGAUUGCUGGGAGAAGGUGGGGACUCUGGCAAGGGAUAGGGCCUGUGCUCAAGCCCAAAGGUGCCCCAGGCUGAAAUGGGUGCCCAGGGAUCACUAUGAGAGCCCCAACAGUCGGCCAUGGGGGAAGCCGUUCCCAGCACACUUGGCCCUCGGGACCCUGCAGGGCAGAUCAAGUUUCUCUACCUUGGCCUGAGCUUCUCAUCAACACUUCACUUGCUGGGCUUCUCAGGGUGGAAGUGGGGCUUUGUGUCCCCUUCUGGGGUGGCAGGGCUCGGAAAGGGAAUGAUGGUAGGGGCUGCGAGAUGUGGGUCCUGGCCCCCAGUGGGAAGUGAUCAGAGGCCUCGGAGGCGGGCAUGGCUGAGAAACACAGCCUCGGCCCUAUCAGGGCCGUUGAGUCGGUGUGCCCUGCCAGCAGGAGGAGGGUGGGCAAGGUCCGUGCCAGCUCUGUCUCUGGGACCAGUGGGCAGGGGCCUCUGCCUCACCCCACACUGCCUCAGCCGGGGCAGCAGGCCCAGGCCUCUUGCAUAAGCGCCCUGUGGGGGACGAGGCUGCAGCUGUGCCCGGCCACCCCAUCCCCCAGCAUCACGAGUCUUCAGUGGGCUGUCCUCGGGCCCUGGGUGGAGGCCAAGCCUGGCCCAUAAAUAGGGGUCUCCUCAGUGCCCUCCGCUCCUCCUGCACACCUUCCGCACACCUCCCUCGCUCUCCCACACCACUGGCACCAGGCCCCGGACACCUGCUCUGCUGCAGGAGAAUGGCUACUCAUCACACGCUGUGGAUGGGACUGGUCCUGCUGGGGCUGCUGGGCGGCCUACAGGCAGCACCCGAGGCCCAGGUCUCCGUGCAGCCCAACUUCCAGCCGGACAAGUUCCUGGGGCGGG